AGCGAACGCUGGCGGCAGGCCUAACACAUGCAAGUCGAACGGAUCCUUCGGGAUUAGUGGCGGACGGGUGAGUAACACGUGGGAACGUGCCCUUUGGUUCGGAACAACUCAGGGAAACUUGAGCUAAUACCGGAUGUGCCCUUCGGGGGAAAGAUUUAUCGCCAUUGGAGCGGCCCGCGUCUGAUUAGCUAGUUGGUGGGGUAAAGGCCCACCAAGGCGACGAUCAGGAGCUGGUCUGAGAGGAUGAUCAGCCACAUUGGGACUGAGAACACGGCCCAAACUCCUACGGGAGGCAGCAGUGGGGAAUCUUGCGCAAUGGGCGAAAGCCUGACGCAGCCAUGCCGCGUGAAUGAUAAAGGUCUUAGGAUUGUAAAAUUCUUUCACCGGGGACGAUAAUGACGGUACCCGGAGAAGAAGCCCCGGCUAACUUCGUGCCAGCCGCCGCCGUAAAAC
rnacentral:rRNA from 1 species